CGCCAUCCACCGGCCGGAUCAACUCCAGCUGCAGCAAGUGCUCGAAAGCCUACAGUUAGAGUUGGACUUCUCGAACGGUCCACCUAUAAUACAGAACAACAAGGUAGGUGUAUGUAUUAAAGUGCUCACAUGUGCAGUGUUUAAAAGCACCGCACACACACCAACAGCAGUGUCACUGUAGUGAUAAUGAUCACCAGCUUCUCGUCUCUUUAAGCGAGCCUACUCGUUUUCUUUCCUUGUUUCGUAGCAGCGCUGACUGAGGAAUCAAGCACUAGCAUAUUUAGCGAAUGGGGUGUUCUUGCUUACUUACUGAAACGUCAUUUUAAAACGAUUUAUCUGCAUGUACACAAACCCUAUUACAGUCUCAGUUAACCUCAGCUUCAGCCUAAUCAAGAUCCUCCUCAUCAUCGGUCUCAUACGAUAGUGUGUUCUUAAUUAAGACAUGUUUUAAGCACAAAUACAUUGAAUUAUGUAUGUGUGGUUCUUAUUAUUGGAUCAUUUGUUGCAAGAAUUAUUUAUGUUUAUUUUUUUUUAAAGAAGUGUUGAAGAUUUUUAUACCGUGUGCUUACAUCACUAAAAAAUAAAUAAAGGCAUUCGCUUUGUAAGCACUGGUGUAUGCAUGCACAAGCCUGGCAGAAGGCGGAGGUUGAAGUAUGAAUCCUGUGAGUAUUGGUGUUUGCAUUUUCACUGGAAUUUAAUUUUUUAGCGUACUCAAUUGGUCAGUAUUAAGUUUGACUUUUUCGGAUCAAUGUUUGUGUUUGCACGGCUCUCAGGACUGUAUGCUGGUGUGACUUGUGGCCAAAAAGCUGACUAAAUGAUGACUGAUGACUAAAGCUUCCUCUGUGUGUAUGUAAACACCACCUACAAACUUGUCUAUUUUUGUUAUUAUAUGUAUACGUGUUAUAUUUCUCUAUUUAAUUUUUCUCUCACUCUUCAUACUUGGUAAAAUCCUGAUUGUCCUGUUCAGAGUUCUCCACUAGAUGGCAGCAGAGCUGUGGGGGCUGGGUUUUUUUUUGUUGUUAUUGUUUUUUAGCUGUUAACUCCAAGAGGUCCAUCAAUCAAAAAAAUAUUGUUGUUUUUGUUUUUUACAAGCUUUUUCAUUUACAUUGCUGUCCUGACAUGGAAAAGAAAAUAGCAAUAUCGGUUUUUAACUACGUGCACCCUGUGGAGCCUUAAACGUCAUAAACCACAGGAAAGCGCUAUUAGUUGCAUGAGAAUGCGAGUGAGUGAAUGUUUAUAGCUGCUAUAAUGUAACUGAUAAGAAUUAACCUCUUUUUCAGACGUUCCACAACAUUUAGUGUAACUAAAAAUUGAUUUAAAAAAAAAAAAAAAAAAAAAAAAGUAAAACUUCUGAUUCAUUAAUAUAUACAGUGUAAUACUAUAUCAUUUAUAAAUGACAAAAAUGAUGUGGGGAAAAUUGCUGUGGUAUGAGAGGAAUAAAGCACUUCGGAGCAUGCUGUUAUAAGGAAAUAAUCGACGUCGGGCCGCAUUACAGCAGCCUGUUGUUGAUUAAUUAUCUAUAACGGCUCGUGCGUAGGCGUUUUAUUCCUUACGUAAUAAAGCUGCUUACAAGUCAUUACGUUGGUUAUCAUCAAUAUUUUAAAAACAAGGCAGGUAAUGGAAUAUAAAGUCACGUGAUAAUCACUGGAUCAUUUGUCCAUCCGGUCGUUUUAAGGAAGGAUUGAUACUGUAAAGACAAUGAGAUUUGUUGCAUGAUGAGUUCAGACUAAGUUUAGAGUCUCACCUUAAACACCACUGGCUUCUCAAAGUUAUGGAUGGAGUGAGACUUCCUCUGAAGGAAUUUCUUAAACUCUGUGGAGAAACGACGAGACAAAAUAUUAUUCCAGGCACUUUUCAUAUAUAUCUAUGCAGCUUUCAAAUAUAUAUAUGUACAUAACGUGUGUACAAUCAGCUGUGGUCAAUGGUCAAUACGUAAUUUGGAAGCGUCUUAUUUUAUAAACUGCUCGUUUUCCUUUCCUCGCUCCUUCCUCUGACGAUGCGAGGAACGAAAACGACGGCAGGAGUCGUCGAGGACUUUACGCCAGAUGAAGCGUCACAUUAAAGUGACUUCACUUCUGGAUGAAGAUCACGUGCUGGGUGUAACGAAUCCGUCCCUGGUCUACAACUUUCGUAUCCACAUUUGAAUAGAUUAUUUGAACAGAUUUGUACUCGUUGUUUAUUAUCCAAGUAAGGUCGCUUUGUAUUUGUGCUUCUUCUUAGUGUAUGCUAGAGACGAUGAGUGAUACCGUUGUGAACCAUUUGGAAGUUAAACGGCUCUCCUUCGUAGGUAUCAUUCAAAUGCUUCAUGGCGAUAAUCAAACACAACUCCAGGACGGACAGACCUGAGCAAAGAAAAUGCAAAGAGUCUGCAGGUGAGGCCCACCACAGCUACAGGAGCCUGAGCAGACUGAGAAACAUCGAGCAGGU